UACGUAGGGGGCAAGCGUUGUCCGGAAUCAUUGGGCGUAAAGAGCGUGUAGGCGGCCCGGCAAGUGGAAGGUGAAAUCCCUCGGCUUAACCGAGGAACUGCCCUCCAAACUGCUUGGCUUGAGUCCGGGAGAGGUGAGUGGAAUUCCCAGUGUAGCGGUGAAAUGCGUAGAUAUUGGGAGGAACACCAGUGGCGAAGGCGGCUCACUGGACCGGAACUGACGCUGAGGCGCGAAAGCGUGGGGAGCAAACGGG
rnacentral:rRNA from 1 species